UUUAUGUUUAAAAGGGCGGUCCUUUUUCAUCAGAAAGAAACGUAGAGGGCAGAGCAUUGUUUGUGUCUCCAACGCCUGCACUUGGAGAGACAGAGUAGGUUUCUUAGAGCUCAGGGGGUUUUGUAAGACCAUAGCCAAGAGGGAGGUUUGGUCUUCUGUGUAGGUAUUUAACACUGUUCAUAUGUUCUUGCUAAUUUGAUGAGAAAGAACAAGCUGUAAAAACAGUCCUUCCAGCAGGCCAGGAAAGAGCAAGAGUCCACAGGGUUUCAAAAAAGUGACAGGAAAAAUCCAUGGAAGAGAAAUCUCUUGAGGCUGUGAAACAGAAAGACACCACCCUCUGAAGCUCCUGAAGUUUCAUAGCAUACUUUCCUUGAUUUUUAUACUCUUCCCUGACAUCUGCUCUUGGUCAUUCUUGGUGAGAAAGGAAGAUCAAAAGAAAAGUUUUCACUACAUUUGGCCUCAUCUGGAUUUUGUGAUAUUAAAGGCUGCCAGAUCUCCUGACUGAGUGAAGAGAACAUCAAAAGAGACUCUUCCUCAACCUCACCAAGCAGUGUGGCCUCAUAAUUUGGCUGUCCAGG